AUUGAACGCUGGCGGCAGGCUUAACACAUGCAAGUCGAGCGGGGUGAUGGUGCUUGCACUAUCACUUAGCGGCGGACGGGUGAGUAAUGCUUAGGAAUCUGCCUAUUAGUGGGGGACAACAUCUCGAAAGGGAUGCUAAUACCGCAUACGUCCUACGGGAGAAAGCAGGGGAUUACUUGUGACCUUGCGCUAAUAGAUGAGCCUAAGUCGGAUUAGCUAGUUGGUGGGGUAAAGGCCUACGAAGGCGACGAUCUGUAGCGGGUCUGAGAGGAUGAUACGCCACACUGGGACUGGGACACGGCCCAGACUCCUACGGGAGGCAGAAGUGGGGAAUAUUGGACAAUGGGGGGAACCCUGAUCCAGCCAUGCCGCGUGUGUGAAGAAGGCCUUAUGGUUGUAAAGCACUUUAAGCGAGGAGGAGGCUCUUUUGGUUAAUACCCAAGAUGAGUGGACGUUACUCGCAGAAUAAGCACCGGCUAACUCUGUGCCAGCAGCCGCCGUAA
rnacentral:rRNA from 1 species